rnacentral:lncRNA from 1 species
CUGGUUAUAAGCUUCUGAACAAUGAUAAGGAUGGUGCCAUUUGACAUUCGUUUACAGAGGAUGAAACUGAGGCACAGAGAAGUCAAGCAUCUUGUGCGGGGUCAGGAUUGGGACCCAGGCAGCCUGCUCCAGAGCCGGGCUCUGACCCUCCACAAGAGCCAUCACUAAAGUUCCACUUACCGCUGCACCUUCAAUCUCUUCCUCUCUCCAUCCCUCCCACAUGUUCACAGAUGAAAUCUUCUUCCUUUCUUAUUUAAUAAAACAAUGUAAUGACCAGCCUGGCAAA